rnacentral:rRNA from 1 species
UACCAGCACCCCGAGUGGUCGGGACGAUUAUUUGGCCUAAAGCAUCCGUAGCCGGUCAUGCAAGUCUUCCGUUAAAUCCAGCCGCUCAACGGUUGGGCUGCGGAGGAUACUACGUGGCUAGGAGGCGGGAGAGGCAAGCGGUACUCAGUGGGUAGGGGUAAAAUCCUUUGAUCCAUUGAAGACCACCAGUGGCGAAGGCGGCUUGCCAGAACGCGCUCGACGGUGAGGGAUGAAAGCUGGGGGAGCAAACCGG